UGAGCAAGCCAGACGAUCGCGUGAGGGAUUCCCUCAUGAGGAAAGUCCGGACUCCGCAGGGCAAGGGUGCCGGAUAACGUCCGGUGAAGGCGACUUUAAGGAAAGUGCAACAGAAACACACCGCCGAAACGGAGCUUGUCUUUUUUGGGUAAAUUGAGUGAGCAGCAAGCCCAAUAUGGCCGAAAGACCGGCAAUUCCACGAAUACGGAAAACCCGUCAUGUGGGACGCCUCGCAAUUAGAGCUUAUGGCUCACGCAGCCAACGUAAUUGCGAGCGCAGGAUUUUUUGGUCAGAUUGGGUGCGCGCGAUGGAAGCCGCAGCGCCGCGUACAUAAGGUACGCAAGCAAGGCUGAGUGAGCAGCAAGCCCAAUAUGGCCAAAAAAGACAAGCUCGCAGUGGUAAGGGUGAAAUGGUGAGGUAAGAGCUCACCGGGGGUAUGGUGACAUGCCCGCCGUGUAAACCCCACCCGGUGCAAGGCCAAGCAGAGCAUAAGUCCGCGUAUGCGGA
rnacentral:RNase_P_RNA from 1 species